GAAAGGUGCGAGCGUUAAUCGGAAUUACUGGGCGUAAAGCGCGCGUAGGCGGUUCGUUAAGUCAGAUGUGAAAGCCCCGGGCUUAACCUGGGAACUGCACCUGAUACUGGCGAGCUAGAGUGCAGUAGAGGGAGGUGGAAUUCCAGGUGUAGCGGUGAAAUGCGUAGAGAUCUGGAGGAACACCAGUGGCGAAGGCGGCCUCCUGGACUGACACUGACGCUGAGGUGCGAAAGCGUGGGUAGCAAACAGGAUUAGAUACCCUGGUAGUCCACGCCGUAAACGCUGUCUACUAGCCGUUGGGUCCCUUCGUGGACUUUGGUGGCGCAGCUAACGCGAUAAGUAGACCGCCUGGGGAGUACGGCCGCAAGGUUAAAACUCAAAUGAAUUGACGGGGGCCCGCACAAGCGGUGGAGCAUGUGGUUUAAUUCGAUGCAACGCGAAGAACCUUACCAGGCCUUGACAUCCUCGGAACUUUCUAGAGAUAGAUUGGUGCCUUCGGGAGCCGAGUGACAGGUGCUGCAUGGCCGUCGUCAGCUCGUGUCGUGAGAUGUUGGGUUAAGU
rnacentral:rRNA from 1 species